rnacentral:misc_RNA from 1 species
UGUGGGAGCGAGCCUGCUCGCGAAAGCGUCGGCACAUCCAGCAUCCAUGUGUCUGGCGUAGCGUCUUCGCGAGCAGGCUCGCUCCCACA